rnacentral:rRNA from 1 species
AUUGAACGCUGGCGGCAUGCCUUACACAUGCAAGUCGAACGGCAGCACGGACUUCGGUCUGGCGGCGAGUGGCGAACGGGUGAGUAAUGUAUCGGAACGUACCUUUCAGUGGGGGAUAACGUAGCGAAAGUUACGCUAAUACCGCAUAUUCUGUGAGCAGGAAAGCAGGGGAUCGAAAGACCUUGCGCUGAUUGAGCGGCCGAUAUCAGAUUAGCUAGUUGGUGGGGUAAAGGCCUACCAAGGCGACGACCUGUAGCGGGUCUGAGAGGAUGAUCCGCCACACUGGAACUGAGACACGGUCCAGACUCCUACGGGAGGCAGCAGUGGGGAAUUUUGGACAAUGGGGGCAACCCUGAUCCAGCCAUGCCGCGUGAGUGAAGAAGGCCUUCGGGUUGUAAAGCUCUUUCGGCCGGGAAGAAAUCGCAUAGGCUAAUACCCUGUGUGGAUGACGGUACCGGAAGAAGAAGCACCGGCUAACUACGUG